AUAUUUUUCAAUAUUUAAAUGUAAAAUACGGAACAAAAAUUGUAUAUUCUUAAAUUCUAUCAAUAAAUAAUAGUGCAGUGCUGAUGCCAAUCGACUCGACCUGACUCGCUGGGGAGAACAUAUUCCCAUGCUGUAUGAAUCAAGUACCAUCUAGCCGCCGUUCUGCACCAGUGCCCAUGCCACUACAAUAAGGACCUGCAUCCGAACACCUCCACCACCAGUCUACAGAGGCUACGUGGAGCCGAAGUCCCUCCAAAACCUGAGGACGGCAACGGAGAUCCCUCGACGGACGCAAAAGAUAAGUAGCCCCCUUGCAGUCAGGUGUUAGCAAAGUGCUACUGAACAAAUUAGUUUCCUUGACAUUUUUCUUUUUGUUAAUACAUAAUCUUCAAUUUUCUUUCUUCGGUAUUUGAAAUAGCAAUAAUGUGUAUCUGACUGAUUUCCCUAGAAAUAAUAAAUGAAUAUGUAAAA